UGUCGACAUACUGCAUUUUUCAGCCGUGUUCCUUGCUGCCUCUUCGAUUUUUAUCAAAAAUUUAGUGUGACAGAAGUUUUUCUCUUUCUUUGCAACAUGUUAUCUCAGGUUUUCCACUGUCACCAAAGCAGUUGUGCUACUUUGAGGGUAAGUUGAGAGCAUGUAAACUAUCUUCAGUGUUUUGUGCCCAAGUACAGCAAGAAUUUGAACUCAAACUUUUCUGUGAUGGUGAGAAGCCUCUAAGCUUCAGUUGUCGCCUUUAUCUUUUAGUCUGGAACUUUUCCAGAACAUGUUCAAUUGAAUGCAAAGCUGCUUCCUGAUGUGCUCAGCAAUAUGGAGUCCACUGCUGGCUUGGAAACCAAUCUGGUGAUUGACAGUUUCUUAAAUGGUGUUGAUGGAACAGUGACUGCCCUAUUUUCUGAAACAGUGGUUGCAAAUACAACUAUCAAGUUAAUUCGUCAUUUAUACAAAAGCUGACUCCACAUACACUAUCAAUGGGAUAUCUUUUUUAUUCAAGGGAAGCAGCAAUGACUUGCCUCUUAGAAGAUAUACCACCACAGUAACAAUCUCUUUGGAUUUCSUUCUACAUAUGUCUCAUUUUAUCAACUGAGCCUUUGAUUGAAAUAUAGAAAAAUUAGGAAGUAACAGCUAUGUGAAUUGUCAAAAUCUAUACUUAAUAUUAUCUCUAUUGUCUAAGUGCAAAAAUCCUAAUGCCUUUAAAUACUAAGUGACAUAAAAUAACGUGUUUAUACAUGCUGAAUUUGUUAAGGGUGGAGUUGUAAAUGUGGAAUAUUCUUGUUUUGUUAAUUUGAAGAUGAUAAUGUUAUACAUAAUGAAAGUGGUCCUUAGAGGUUAGUUUAUGUUUGAAGGGUUCAGUAGGAGGAGUUCAUGUCUUAAAAGAAAAAAUGUAUGGAUGAGAAACUGAAAAAGGAAACAAAGGUAAAGAAGUAAAGAACAAUUUCUCCACCCCAUCAUGAAACAAAUAGUAUUAAAUAUGUUGUAAUUUAGUUACAUAAAAAACAGAGUUCAGGACCUAAACUUCUUGGGGAAGCACGGUUUAGGAGCAGAGCAGCAGCAGCCUGCUUGCUGGCUCCCUGGGGAGGAGUGCCUUGUAUCACUUCUGGCUGACAGGCAGAGCCGCGCUGCCAGCUUCCGGGGGGAGCUGUCUUUAGCUCUCUUAAGACCCAGUCUUGC
rnacentral:lncRNA from 1 species